CUGACCGUGCAAAUCACGGCUGCACGGCUCGCUGGCUAAUACGUUGCAGCAUACCACACGCUUGACGAUAACCCUGGGCAGGUUAGGCAGUGUUCCUCUUUGCACGACAUUUCAUAGCAUGCAUCAAGAGAAUUAGGUCUAGAGAAUUAGGUCUAGAGAUAAUUAAGAGUGGUUACAUCCAGAGGUAAGGUAUCAGCUGUGGUUAGGUUUAGAGGUAAGGUAUCAGCUGUGGUUAGGUUUAGAGGUAAGGUAGCAGCUGUGCAGUGUUUCCCGGCAUUGACACGAGCGAGGCGGGUCGCCUCGCUCAAAUUCUCAGCCGCCACACAGAAAUUUGUCCAAAACUAAACACCACCUCGCUGACAGAAGUUUUGCCAACUUGAAAAAGAGAUUCAAGAGUCUCUCAUACAAUGUGUUCAGAAUAGCUUAGAAUGCACCAAAUUGCACCAUUUUUUCAAAAAAUCCCCGGAUCCCCUAGCUUGGCCAGCAC